rnacentral:rRNA from 1 species
UGGGGAAUUUUGGACAAUGGGGGCAACCCUGAUCCAGCCAUGCCGCGUGAGUGAAGAAGGCCUUCGGGUUGUAAAGCUCUUUCGGCCGGGAAGAAAUCGCAUCUCCUAAUACGGGGUGUGGAUGACGGUACUGGAAGAAGAAGCACCGGCUAACUACGUGCCAGCAGCCGCGGUAAUACGUAGGGUGCGAGCGUUAAUCGGAAUUACUGGGCGUAAAGCGUGCGCAGGCGGCGCCAUAAGACAGCUGUGAAAUCCCCGGGCUUAACCUGGGAACUGCGGUUGUGACUGUGGUGCUUGAGUGCGGCAGAGGGGGGUGGAAUUCCACGUGUAGCAGUGAAAUGCGUAGAGAUGUGGAGGAACACCGAUGGCGAAGGCAGCCCCCUGGGUCGACACUGACGCUCAUGCACGAAAGCGUGGGGAGCAAACAGG